AGGGAAUCUUCCGCAAUGGACGAAAGUCUGACGGAGCAACGCCGCGUGAGUGAAGAAGGCCUUCGGGUCGUAAAACUCUGUUGCCGGGGAAGAACGAGUGCCGUUCGAACAGGGCGGUGCCUUGACGGUACCCGGCCAGAAAGCCACGGCUAACUACGUGCCAGCAGCCGCGGUAAUACGUAGGUGGCAAGCGUUGUCCGGAAUUAUUGGGCGUAAAGCGCGCGCAGGCGGUUUCUUAAGUCUGAUGUGAAAUCUUGCGGCUCAACCGCAAGCGGUCAUUGGAAACUGGGAGGCUUGGGUGCAGAAGAGGAGAGUGGAAUUCCACGUGUAGCGGUGAAAUGCGUAGAGAUGUGGAGGAACACCAGUGGCGAAGGCGACUCUCUGGGCUGUAACUGACGCUGAGGCGCGAAAGCGUGGGGAGCAAAC
rnacentral:rRNA from 1 species